GGAUAACCUUGCGAAAGUAAGACUAAUACCCAAUGAUAUCUCUAGAAGACAUCUGAAAGAGAUUAAAGAUUUAUCGGUGAUGGAUGGGGAUGCGUCUGAUUAGCUUGUUGGCGGGGUAACGGCCCACCAAGGCAACGAUCAGUAGGGGUUCUGAGAGGAAGGUCCCCCACAUUGGAACUGAGACACGGUCCAAACUCCUACGGGAGGCAGCAGUGAGGAAUAUUGGUCAAUGGACGAGAGUCUGAACCAGCCAAGUAGCGUGCAGGAAGACGGCCCUAUGGGUUGUAAACUGCUUUUAUAAGGGAAUAAAGUUAGUCUCGUGAGACUUUUUGCAUGUACCUUAUGAAUAAGGACCGGCUAAUUCCGUGCCAGCAGCCGCGGUAAUACGGAAGGUCCGGGCGUUAUCCGGACUUAUUGGGUUUAAAGGGAGCGUAGGCCGGAGAUUAAGCGUGUUGUGAAAUGUAGACGCUCAACGUCUGCACUGCAGCGCGAACUGGUUUCCUUGAGUACGCACAAAGUGGGCGGAAUUCGUGGUGUAGCGGUGAAAUGCUUAGAUAUCACGAAGAACUCCGAUUGCGAAGGCAGCUCACUGGAGCGCAACUGACGCUGAAGCUCGAAAGUGCGGGUAUCGAACAGGAUUAGAUACCCUGGUAGUCCGCACGGUAAACGAUGGAUGCCCGCUGUUGGUCUGAAU
rnacentral:rRNA from 1 species